rnacentral:rRNA from 1 species
UUUAAAGUCUAAUCUGCCCAAUGAGGGUUUAAAUGGCCGCGGUAUUUUGACCGUGCAAAGGUAGCAUAAUAAUUAGUUUUUUAAUUGAAAGCUGGAAUGAAUGAUUGGACGAGAAAAUUACUGUCUCAAUUUAAUUUAAUUAGAAUUUUAUUUUUAAGUAAAAAAGCUUAAAUUUUGUUAAUAGACGAGAAGACCCUAUAGAGUUUUAUAUUAAUUUAUUUAUAUAUUUUUUAGGAUUUUUUAUUUUUUAUUUAAAUUAUUAUUUUGUUGGGGUGAUGGAAAAAUUUAAUAAACUUUUUUUAUAUAUAUUCAUUAAUUUAUGUUUAAUUGAUCCAUUUUUUAUGAUUAUAAGAUUAAAUUACCUUAGGGAUAACAGCGUAAUUUUUUUUUAGAGUUCUUAUCGAUAAAAAAGAUUGCGACCUCGAUGUUGGAUUAAAAUAAAUUUUUGGUGUAGAAGCUAAUAUAUUAGGUCUGUUCGACCUUUAAAAUUUUACA